CAGCCCCCUCUCCAAUUUUCAUCCAUUUGCACAGCACAGCCGCUGCCAUCGUUUGUUUAUUGAACUAGCUUUGAUUAAUUAAUUAUGGCUAAGUUUAUUGGAGUAGCCUUGAUUCGUUUGUUCGUUGAGUGUAUGAUAAUGGGAAUUAGUACUGCUGAUGUUCAUCUUUGAGUUUGUUGAGUUUGUUAAUUGCAUAAUUAUUUCGAUUAGGUAAUGUUUUAGAGAAUUUGAUGUGCUUUGCUAUGUAACAAGUUUCCACUUUUCAUUGUGCCAAUCAUAAAUCUAUGGCUUUUGGGUAACAAGUUUCAGGUUUCUUCCAUCGCAUUCUUUCAAAUUCUAUCAUUUUGCAUUUAUGAAAUUAUAUAAACUUAUCUCUCUGAGCUUCCCAUCUUCAAUUUUUCUUCUAAUGCAUCAUUAUUAUGCUUGAUGUGGCAAUUAUCUCUAUAACUUAAUCAUACUUACUUUUGAUUUUAAAAUUUAUAUUGUUGAGUGUGGACCUCCUUCAUUGGCAAUUAUUGUUAGCCUAUGAUUUAAGCAUUUGCAUUAAUGAAAUUAUAUAAACUUGUCUCUCUGAGCUUCCCAUCUUCAAUUUUUCUUCAUUAGGAGGGAGAUGUCAUGUGAUCCUUUUGAGGAAGCAUUCGAUGCUGUAAAUGAGAUGGAAUCACUUGGAGAUAGCAUGGUAACUAGUAUAGAAACCUCAGAAGAGUGGAAUACUUGGAGGACAAAUUUAGCACAAGAGAUGUAUCAUCAACGGAGAGCAAGUAGACAGAGCACAUGAAAACUCCUUAAAAAAAUUGUUAUUUUUUGUUAUUCCAUUUGCUGGAUUGUACAUGUAGUAUUAGUUUCUGACUUUGGAGAUUUUGUAUUCUGGUACAUCUCUCUUAAUGGUUAAAUGUGAUAAUGUGAUAUCGAUGUUUUAUUUUAUUUUAUCACUUUGUCCAUAG
rnacentral:lncRNA from 1 species